GUAGUCCACGCCGUAAACGAUGGAUACUAGGUGUAGGAGGGUCCAACCUUCUGUGCCGCCGCAAACGCAUUAAGUAUCCCGCCUGGGGAGUACGGUCGCAAGAUUAAAACUCAAAGGAAUUGACGGGGGCCCGCACAAGUAGCGGAGCAUGUGGUUUAAUUCGAAGCAACGCGAAGAACCUUACCUAGACUUGACAUAUUCUGCAUUACUCUUAAUCGAGGAAGUCCCUUCGGGGACAGAAAUACAGGUGGUGCAUGGUUGUCGUCAGCUCGUGUCGUGAGAUGUUGGGUUAAGUCCCGCAACGAGCGCAACCUUAUUGUUAGUUGCUACCAUUAAGUUGAGCACUCUAGCGAGACUGCCUGGGUUAACCAGGAGGAAGGUGGGGAUGACGUCAAAUCAUCAUGCCCCUUAUGUCUAGGGCUACACACGUGCUACAAUGGCAAGUACAGAAAGAUGCGAACUCGUGAGGGUGAGCUAAACUCAAAAACUUGUCUCAGUUCGGAUUGUAGGCUGAAACUCGCCUACAUGAAGCUGGAGUUACUAGUAAUCGCGAAUCAGAAUGUCGCGGUGAAUACGUUCCCGGGCCUUGUACACACCGCCCGUCACACCAUGAGAGUUGGCAAUACCCGAAGUCCGUGAGCUAACGUGGCACACGAGGCAGCGGCCGAAGGUAGGGUCAGCGAUUGGGGUGAAGUCGUAACAAGGUAGCCGUAGGAGAACC
rnacentral:rRNA from 1 species